UUAGGAAUUUUGCGCAAUGGCCGAAAGGCUGACGCAGCAACGCCGCGUGGAGGACGAAGGCCCUCGGGUCGUAAACUCCUUUUCUGGGGGAAGAUGGUGACGGUACCCCAGGAAUAAGCCCCGGCUAACUACGUGCCAGCAGCCGCGGUAAUACGUAGGGGGCGAGCGUUGUCCGGAUUUAUUGGGCGUAAAGAGCGCGUAGGCGGUGAUGCCAAGUCGUGCGUGAAAUACCCCGGCUCAACCGGGGGGAGCCGUGCGAUACUGGUUCACUUGAGGCCGGUAGGGGGAAGCGGAAUUCCCGGUGUAGUGGUGGAAUGCGUAGAUAUCGGGAGGAACACCAGUGGCGAAGGCGGCUUCCUGGACCGGUCCUGACGCUGAGGCGCGAAAGCGUGGGGAGCGAACUGA
rnacentral:rRNA from 1 species